AUUGAACGCUGGCGGCAUGCUUUACACAUGCAAGACGAACGGUAACAGGCCGCAAGGUGCUGACGAGUGGCGAACGGGUGAGUAAUGCAUCGGAACGUGCCCAGUCGUGGGGGAUAACGCAGCGAAAGCUGUGCUAAUACCGCAUACGAUCUAUGGAUGAAAGCGGGGGACCGUAAGGCCUCGCGCGCUUGGAGCGGCCGAUGUCAGAUUAGGUAGUUGGUGGGGUAAAGGCUCACCAAGCCAACGAUCUGUAGCUGGUCUGAGAGGACGACCAGCCACACUGGGACUGGGACACGGCCCAGACUCAUACGGGAGGCAGCAGUGGGGAAUUUUGGACAAUGGGCGCAAGCCUGAUCCAGCAAUGCCGCGUGCAGGAAGAAGGCCUUCGGGUUGUAAACUGCUUUUGUACGGAACGAAACGGUCUGGGUUAAUACCCUGGGCUAAUGACGGUACCGUAAGAAUAAGCACCGGCUAACUACGUGCCAGCCGCCGCCGUAACAC
rnacentral:rRNA from 1 species